AAUUUAUUGGUAAAGUUCGAAUUAGUGAAUUAUUUAUAUCGGGUGACUGUUUCACAUGACUGACGUAACGUUGUCAUUUCUCCUCUAUGGUAAUGAUCCCAAUAAAAAAGAAGUGGUAUUAUAAUAAAUAAAAGAGUGCGUUCAAAGUAGAAAUUGAAGCCUGUGGUAAAUAUAUUAUUAAAAAAUAAAAAAAAGAUUCAAUCAACAGGAGACUGAUUCUAGAUAUUUAAAACGGUUUAAAAUCAGUCUCGCGUUAAUAAUGCUCACAUUAAGAAGUGCCGGAACACGUUUCUUCAGCUACCAACCUUAUAGUGGUAAUUUGAGGACGUACUGGUAUGUUUAAAAUCACCGUAUGCCGUGAUACGCAGUCGAUGUACUGAUGUCCUUAUAACGCCAUGGACAAAACAAUUUUCUAAAUUGAGACAAACCAGUUAGUGUAGAAAAAAACUUCAAUGGAGUGCAAAGCAGUGUGUCAGCCUAGUGGAACAAUUAUGUUCGGAAAUGUUUAGAACAUACUUCUACAGUAUAUAAAGCAAUGGUACUGUUCUGGGGCCUCUUUCUAUCAUUCUAGAAAUGUUUUUUAUGAGUAUAAAACCUGGAGUGAACACUGGAUAUAAGAAAGAUUGUAUGGUGAUGAAUAAGCCUGUGAUCAGUAUGGAUACAAACAAAUUAUAUGAAAAGGUA